UCUCAUGGAUAAGCAAAAAAAGUGGUUUCAGGAGAUGGAAUCUACUGCUAGUGAAGAUUCUGUGAA
rnacentral:pre_miRNA from 1 species